CAGCCGCCGCGGUAAUACGUAGGUCCCGAGCGUUGUCCGGAUUUAUUGGGCGUAAAGCGAGCGCAGGCGGUUAGAUAAGUCUGAAGUUAAAGGCUGUGGCUUAACCAUAGUACGCUUUGGAAACUGUUUAACUUGAGUGCAAGAGGGGAGAGUGGAAUUCCAUGUGUAGCGGUGAAAUGCGUAGAUAUAUGGAGGAACACCGGUGGCGAAAGCGGCUCUCUGGCUUGUAACUGACGCUGAGGCUCGAAAGCGUGGGGAGCAAACAGGAUUAGAUACCCGCGUAGUCCCUGUCUCUUAUACC
rnacentral:rRNA from 1 species